rnacentral:lncRNA from 1 species
AAAAUCAUGUUUCAAAUAAUUCAAUCUAAUCACAUUGCUUGUGCAAUACCCAUAGAAUAUCUUGGGAUUUUGAAUUUUUAACUGAACCUUCCUAAUAUUAACAAUUAUUGAUAUCGAAAUCAAAACCACAAAAUCUCGAGAGAUAUGAUCUAGAGUAUGCAACAAGUUUCACGGAAAACCUAAAAACUUCUCCCUUCAACCUCUUCAUAUUAUAAAUAGCAAUCACCUCUUCCUAAUCAAACCCACACCAUCAAACAACGCAAUGGCUACACAAAAGCAAAUCCAAACACGGCGUGCUUCUAAUGAAAAAGUGACCAUUCAAGACUUGCGGCUGCGGCCCUGGCACACUACUAAACUAGUUCAUGUGAAGGUUCUACGCUCUUGGGUCCAAAACAUUCAACUAUCAGGUGAAAUCAUGGAAUUCAUCUUUAUGAGAAUGUAAGCAAUCGUAACUGCCUAUUUAUGGUUUUGAAAUAUGUAUAUUUUGUUGUUUAUGUCUUGUUUAAAAGUUUGACUGUGCUCUUAAUAUUUUCAAUCUGAUUUAUUACAUGUGCAAGGGUGAUAAGAUUCACGCAACAUGUAAAAUGACUUACAUUGAGAGUAAAGGGAGGCGUCUUCCGUUGUAGUAUGGCGCAACAUUCAGAAUUUCCAUGUUAGACCUGCAAUAGGAGCUUAAUAUUAAUGACGAUUAAAUGAUGCUUUCUACUCAUAUGGUUAUUUUGAUCAUUCAUAUAUUUUAUAUAAAAAAAAUUAAAUUACUGGUAACAAAAUUUUCAUUGUGGGAUUAAUAGUUUUAGUAAUUUAUAUAUUUUUAAAAAUUAAGCUGUCAAUAACUGUUCAAAGCUUUUAUCAAAAAACAAUUGCUCAAAUAAUUUUAAAAAUUAAAAUAUUUAUGUAUUUUAAUUGGUAUAUAUUUUAGUUUAAAACAAUACAUAUAUAGAUAUAUAUAUAUAUAUAUAUAAUCUUGAUAAUUAAUUAAAUUAGACUUAUUAAUUAUAUGAUUUUGUAAUCAUUUUUAUUUUGACAUAACAAAAAUUUUAAACCAUGAAUCACAAAAUUUGAAUGUGAGACUUUUAACCAUUUUAAUAAUUUAUUCUUUUUAAAAGUUCAAAAUAUAACAUAUACAUAAAAAUCUAAAUUUUUUAUUAUAUGGUUAAUGUGGUUUUUUAAUUUAUUUUAGUUUUUUAAAAUUAAACUAAUAUGAUAGAAGAUACACUAAUUUUUUAUCAAAUCUUUAUUAUUUAAAAUCAUUAAUUGACAUAUAUACUUUAGCCAUAUUAGGCAAUUCCGUAAUUUUUAUUUAAGGAAAUAAUCAAGAAUAUUAAUCAUGAUAUUAUGGUUAGUUUAAGAAAAAUUUUAUUAUAUAAUUAGAUGGAUAAACAUAUUUCUCUAAUGAUUCUAAGAAUCAUCCUGGUAAUGACAUGUGACUACAAACAUAAGUUUUAGUGAUUCAAUUAAUAUAUAGCGGAUUUACAGCUAUCAUACAUCGUUUAAUAUUAUUUUAAUUAUAUAAUUAGGAAAAAUAUUUAAAAGUUAAGGAAAAGUUAUUUAAAUAAAUAAAUUUUAGAAACAUUUCAAAUAAGAAUUUAAUUCAUUUAUUUAUUUUACUUAAAUUUAAAUAUCUAUGAAUAUAUAUAUAUAUAUAUAUAUAUAUAUAUACACAAUUUUGAUCUAGAGUAUGCAACAAGUUUCACGGAAAACCUAAAAACUUCUCCCUUCAACCUCUUCAUAUUAUAAAUAGCAAUCACCUCUUCCUAAUCAAACCCACACCAUCAAACAACGCAAUGGCUACACAAAAGCAAAUCCAAACACGGCGUGCUUCUAAUGAAAAAGUGACCAUUCAAGACUUGCGGCUGCGGCCCUGGCACACUACUAAACUAGUUCAUGUGAAGGUUCUACGCUCUUGGGUCCAAAACAUUCAACUAUCAGGUGAAAUCAUGGAAUUCAUCUUUAUGAGAAUGUAAGCAAUCGUAACUGCCUAUUUAUGGUUUUGAAAUAUGUAUAUUUUGUUGUUUAUGUCUUGUUUAAAAGUUUGACUGUGCUCUUAAUAUUUUCAAUCUGAUUUAUUACAUGUGCAAGGGUGAUAAGAUUCACGCAACAUGUAAAAUGACUUACAUUGAGAGUAAAGGGAGGCGUCUUCCGUUGUAGUAUGGCGCAACAUUCAGAAUUUCCAUGUUAGACCUGCAAUAGGAGCUUAAUAUUAAUGACGAUUAAAUGAUGCUUUCUACUCAUAUGGUUAUUUUGAUCAUUCAUAUAUUUUAUAUAAAAAAAAUUAAAUUACUGGUAACAAAAUUUUCAUUGUGGGAUUAAUAGUUUUAGUAAUUUAUAUAUUUUUAAAAAUUAAGCUGUCAAUAACUGUUCAAAGCUUUUAUCAAAAAACAAUUGCUCAAAUAAUUUUAAAAAUUAAAAUAUUUAUGUAUUUUAAUUGGUAUAUAUUUUAGUUUAAAACAAUACAUAUAUAGAUAUAUAUAUAUAUAUAUAUAAUCUUGAUAAUUAAUUAAAUUAGACUUAUUAAUUAUAUGAUUUUGUAAUCAUUUUUAUUUUGACAUAACAAAAAUUUUAAACCAUGAAUCACAAAAUUUGAAUGUGAGACUUUUAACCAUUUUAAUAAUUUAUUCUUUUUAAAAGUUCAAAAUAUAACAUAUACAUAAAAAUCUAAAUUUUUUAUUAUAUGGUUAAUGUGGUUUUUUAAUUUAUUUUAGUUUUUUAAAAUUAAACUAAUAUGAUAGAAGAUACACUAAUUUUUUAUCAAAUCUUUAUUAUUUAAAAUCAUUAAUUGACAUAUAUACUUUAGCCAUAUUAGGCAAUUCCGUAAUUUUUAUUUAAGGAAAUAAUCAAGAAUAUUAAUCAUGAUAUUAUGGUUAGUUUAAGAAAAAUUUUAUUAUAUAAUUAGAUGGAUAAACAUAUUUCUCUAAUGAUUCUAAGAAUCAUCCUGGUAAUGACAUGUGACUACAAACAUAAGUUUUAGUGAUUCAAUUAAUAUAUAGCGGAUUUACAGCUAUCAUACAUCGUUUAAUAUUAUUUUAAUUAUAUAAUUAGGAAAAAUAUUUAAAAGUUAAGGAAAAGUUAUUUAAAUAAAUAAAUUUUAGAAACAUUUCAAAUAAGAAUUUAAUUCAUUUAUUUAUUUUACUUAAAUUUAAAUAUCUAUGAAUAUAUAUAUAUAUAUAUAUAUAUAUAUAUACACAAUUUUUCCUUACUCGGGUUUCAUAUCAAUUUGUUUAGCAGCCUCAAACUAAUUUGAUUGAUGCAAUGAGAAAGAGAAGUGUAAAAAAAUGACUGGAGAUAUGAAAUUAAUCAAUACUAUUAAAUUAGGAACAUAUCCUAUUGAUAAUAGUUGAAUCCAAUUUAAAAUAUAACUGCAAUUAAAAUCAAUAUUACAUGUUUAAAUAUUUAAACUACCAUAAUCUACCUAUUACGAAAAUGGUUAUCAAACUAACUCCCCUUUAAUUCCUAUAUUCUCGGGACCAUCUCUCUUAUCAAUACUAACUGAUUAAAAUCCACGGUUACGUAUGUUUUAUACAUAUGCGCAUGCAUAUAAAACUAUAUCACAAACUCAUAAUGCGCAUAACAGACAAUACUAACUAAUUAAAAUCCACGGUCACAUGGAAUAACAGUCGUGUAGUAUAGACAUGUUCAUAAUGACAAUCAUAAAAUCUGUCUAUUACCUUUUAACCGUGUAGGUAAAAGUAACACUAUAUUAAAGCACACACAAAAAUAUUAAAAAAUAAAUUAGAAAACUAAACUAUCUUUUUUGAUUCAGGUAUUUUAUAUCUAAGUUACUUAACUUAUUUUAAAAUAACUGAAAUUAUCAAAAUACAACAUGUUAAGAUUUAUCAAGACUUAUAUAUAAUAAAUUAUUUACCCAAAUAUCCAAAUUAUGUUUCUGAAAAUAUAAAAUUUACCCGAACUCGAAACUAUACCCAAAAAUCUGAAUCCGGAACUUAAGAAAAGUAUUUGUAAUACCAAAAAUAUUCCAAAACACCAAAAUAUACAUAAUAUCUACAAGAAGUUUCAGAUAUAUUGGAUACCCGAUUGAGUCUCGGAUAGGACCCGGACCCAAACCAAGACCUGCGGAUCUAUGAAAAAAGAAGACCCAAUAGGUACAUUAAAGUAGAUCCGGUCGCAGACCCGAACAUGUAUUUUCAGGUGGUUUAUGUUCGAGUUUUUGGGUCCAGAUAAAAUGUUUAGGCAUGAUUAUAAUUUUAGAGUGUUUACACACUUUAAGAAUAAAAAAUACAAUACUAACAAUAACACUACUUUAAUACAUAAUUUAUAUUAAAUAUAUAUUAUAUGUAAUACUUGUUUUAAUUAAUAAUGGGUAAAAUGGAUUAAAAUCAUAUAAAGUUAUAUUAAAAAUAUAAAACUACUAUUUUGUGAAACAAAUAAAAAUAUCAAAAAACUAUUAUCUUCGUGGAACUGAGGGGAGCACGAUCAUAUUUUAUAUGAACAUGUAAACUUCUCUAUAGUGAACGUAAAAUUGAUCGAUUAGAAUCAUAGUUGCCAAGUUAAUAAGCGUAUCUAUCCGUGGGCUGCACCUCCCAAUCGGGAGUUAGGUCUGUGUCUUUAAUAGACCCGGGUUAACCCUUUUUAAGUUUAUAAAAAAAAAGUUAAUAAGCGUAGAUCUCUAGACCAGAAAGAGAGAGAGAAAUGUUGUCUUGGAGUUUAUACCAUUCGAAAUGUAUGAUUAUAUUAUAAUUUAUAUAUAAGGCCAAAUAAAUGUAUGAUUAUUAUGUUCAAUUACCAAAAAAAGUUAAUCUACUUUUCUUAAUGUAAGUACUCCUAUUAAAUUUUGAUAUCUUGGGUUUUUAUCGGGUUUUAACCGCAUUCUUUCAUUUCGUUUUUAGUUACUCUCUCCGUUCCUAAAUAUAGGAUGUUCAAAAAAAAAAUUGAUGUUCUAAAAAGUUUUUAGUACAUUUUUACCAAAAAGUGUUUAGUACAUUUGUAUAUGCAUUUUUUUUUUGACGAAAUAUAUGCAUUUUUGUGUUAUGGACUUAUGGGUCUUGGAUCGGUUCCUGCAGUUUUCAUAGUUAUGAUUUCUCUCUUGUUCCUAAUGUUAUAUGUGGUUGAUGUUUGGUCAUGCUUACCAAAUUGUUUAUUGUUAUUCAAUAAUUCUUAAAUGAUAGAUAGAAAUAUGGAAAUGCUUCCCAGUGAUUUGUAAUUUUGAUUAUAUAUAGCAUUUUUUUUUCAGAAUGGAAAUGUAUAUAUUAUAUGAUUGAUAAGUUAAGCAUGAAAAUUAUAAUAGUACUGACCAAAAAAAAAUUAUAAUAGUAAGGGAUAACAGAAAGGAAACUGAUUAGAAACAUUAAAAACCAAGAUACAAAAUCAAAGGUUCCGACCAUUGUGUCGCUGAUUGCGGAUGGUUAAUGGAGCUGACACGAGCUCUGGAACUGACGUGUUCCCAUAGACCACCAUCGCCCAUACAGGAUUUGCCUUCUUUAGCACGUUGGCUUUGUCUUUCUCUCACGUGUUUUGUCCAGCGCCGAAUUGGCUUCGUAUAAAUCAGAAAUCUCAAAUAUUUUUACUUUCUGUCCAAUAUAAAAGAAAAUGAUAUAAUAUUUAUAUUGUUUUUCCCUCUCAGGGGCACUUUUGCAAGUCCCCAGCAACGGUUUCUCAGUUGGCUCAGCUGAGAAUAUGUCGUAUUGUUAUAUGUAGAAUUAAUCGCAUUGACUGAAGCUUGUAUUAAUUAGAUUAGCCGCAGACUUGAAAAGCAGUAGCAUUCUGAGGUGGAUGAGUGUUUUUUUUUCUUAAACACUCAAAUCUAUACUAUUAAAACAGAAUCAUACUCCUGCCUUUUCCAGUUAAUUACAUGCCACUGCCAUUACCUUUUUUUUUAAUAAAUAUUGCCAAUUAUUUUAGACCAAUCCGAAGUAUUCGAUUUUUACAGCCUAUCAAAACUAUUUAAGCCCACAGCAGAGUAAACCCGUACUUUUUUAAAAUCCAAACAGAAAUGAAUGUUCAGCCCACCGAAAUCAUCUUCAUGAUCAAACCCUAUAAUAUGUAAACCCCAUCGAAAUCAUCUUCUUUUUUUAACAAACCCUAUACCCUGAAAUGAAAACCCUAACGAAGAUGAAUAUAACAUAUAGAUAAACAUAAAUGUAAAUCAAUGUUCAUAAUAAGCUUAUUUAGAUGAUGCAUGACACCUACAUAUAUAUAUGUUAUGAUUCCUUUACAAAAUGCAAUAUGUAAUGGUGGACACUUUAAUCAAACCAAAAAUAUUAAAAUAUUGACCACAAGUUACUAUGGUAUAAUUCGAAUUUUUUAUAACAAUAAUUAAUUAAAAAUCUAAUAACAAUAUUUUUAAAUAAAUAUUUUACUUAUCUAUAGUUUGGUUACCAUAUCUAUUUGAACUAUAAAUUUUUCAACUCAUCCCCUAAUUUUCGUAAUUAAUUAAAAAACAUAUAAUUAUAUUGGAAUGCCACUGACUUUUCUUGCUUUUUAGUGUAAUUAUAAAUAGUAUUUAAAAAUAUCACUUGGAUACCAAAUCUAUUCCAAGUAUGUUCUUUAACUCAUUCCGUAAUUUUCUCUUCCUAUUAGAAAUAUAAAAAUAAUAUUAUGGCAAAGCUUCCCUAUUUCAUAUACCUAUAUUAAAUGUAACCCAAAAUAUAGAGAAAAAAUAUUAUAUUUUUGGCUAAAAUCAUGUUUCAAAUAAUUCAAUCUAAUCACAUUGCUUGUGCAAUACCCAUAGAAUAUCUUGGGAUUUUGAAUUUUUAACUGAACCUUCCUAAUAUUAACAAUUAUUGAUAUCGAAAUCAAAACCACAAAAUCUCGAGAGAUAUGAUCUAGAGUAUGCAACAAGUUUCACGGAAAACCUAAAAACUUCUCCCUUCAACCUCUUCAUAUUAUAAAUAGCAAUCACCUCUUCCUAAUCAAACCCACACCAUCAAACAACGCAAUGGCUACACAAAAGCAAAUCCAAACACGGCGUGCUUCUAAUGAAAAAGUGACCAUUCAAGAC